CAAUAUAUGAGACCGGCGCACGGGUGCGUAACGCGUAUGCAACCUACCUUUUACAGGGGAAUAGCCCAGAGAAAUUUGGAUUAAUGCCCCAUGGUAUAUUUCAGUGGCAUCACUGGAUUAUUAAAGUUCCAACGGUAAAAGAUGGGCAUGCGUCCCAUUAGCUAGAUGGUAAGGUAACGGCUUACCAUGGCUACGAUGGGUAGGGGUCCUGAGAGGGAGAUCCCCCACACUGGUACUGAGACACGGACCAGACUCCUACGGGAGGCAGCAGUGAGGAAUAUUGGACAAUGGGCGCAAGCCUGAUCCAGCCAUGCCGCGUGCAGGAAGAAGCAUCUAUGGUGUGUAAACUGCUUUUGUACGGGAAGAAACACCUCUACGUGUAGAGGCUUGACGGUACCGUAAGAAUAAGGAUCGGCUAACUCCGUGCCAGCAGCCGCGGUAAUACGGAGGAUCCAAGCGUUAUCCGGAAUCAUUGGGUUUAAAGGGUCCGUAGGCGGUUUGGUAAGUCAGUGGUGAAAGCCCAUCGCUUAACGAUGGAACGGCCAUUGAUACUGCCAGACUUGAAUUACUGGGAAGUAACUAGAAUAUGUAGUGUAGCGGUGAAAUGCUUAGAUAUUACAUGGAAUACCAAUUGCGAAGGCAGGUUACUACCAGUUGAUUGACGCUGAUG
rnacentral:rRNA from 1 species